CCAAUAGCGUAUAUUAAAGUUGUUGCAGUUAAAAAGCUCGUAGUUGAAUUUCGGGGUCAGUAGGUUGGUCAUGCCACUGGUAUGUACUGGUCUCACUGAUUCCUCCUUCCUGAUGAACUGUAAUGCCAUUAAUUUGGUGUUGCAGGGAAUCUGGACUGUUACUUUGAAAAAAUUAGAGUGUUUAAAGCAGGCUAACGCCUGAAUACAUUAGCAUGGAAUAAUGAAAUAGGACGUUCGAUCCUAUUUUGUUGGUUUCUAGGAUUGACGUAAUGAUUAAUAGGGAUAGUUGGGGGCAUUAGUAUUCAAUUGUCAGAGGUGAAAUUCUUGGAUUUAUUGAAGACUAACUACUGCGAAAGCAUUUGCCAAGGAUGUUUUCAUUAAUCAAGAACGAAAGUUAGGGGAUCGAAGACGAUCAGAUACCGUCGUAGUCUUAACCAUAAACUAUGCCGACUAGGGAUCGGAUGAUGUUAAUUUUUUAAUGACUCAUUCGGCGCCUUACGG
rnacentral:rRNA from 1 species